rnacentral:ncRNA from 1 species
AUAUAAUCAGUGAAGUGAUCAAGUAAAUAAGAAUUGUGAACCAGAAAGUAUAGCCUAGGCUGGAAGCUAUAUCACCUCUUCUUAUUGAACCCUGCCACGGAGAUGUUAGUGAAAAGCUAACCGAGUCGUUUCGUUAUAAACGUUUAGAGGGCAUAAAGUUUAUUUACGCCGAACUAAGGUGGUACCACGUCUACUAGCAUAAAGACGUCCUUAUU